rnacentral:rRNA from 1 species
AGGGCACCACCAGGAGUGGAGCCUGCGGCUUAAUUUGACUCAACACGGGAAAACUUACCCGGCCCGGACACUGGAAGGAUUGACAGAUUGAGAGCUCUUUCUUGAUUCAGUGGGUGGUGGUGCAUGGCCGUUCUUAGUUGGUGGAGCGAUUUGUCUGGUUAAUUCCGAUAACGAACGAGACUCUAGCCUACUAAAUAGAUCGUCGGCUUACAAACGCCGACGAGACUUCUUAGAGGGACAGGCGGUGAUUCAACCGCACGAAACAGAGCAAUAACAGGUCUGUGAUGCCCUUAGAUGUCCGGGGCCGCACGCGCGCUACACUGAAGUGAUCAGCGUGCUUUUUCAACCUACUCUGUCAAGAGUGGGGAACCCAAUGAACCUUCUUCGUGAUUGGGAUAGGGGAUUGUAAUUAUUCCCCUUGAACGAGGAAUUCCCAGUAAGCGCGAGUCAUAAGCUCGCGUUGAUUACGUCCCUGCCCUUUGUACACACCGCCCGUCGCUACUACCGAUUGAAUGUUUU